AUAAACACGUUGAUGAGGACAGUAAGCUAAAAUUUUAUUUUUCAGAGAGAGAAUAUACUGGUGUGAUUAUUCUUAAAUAAAUUUAGACUGAAAACCACCUCUGAGUGGCUCUAAUAAAGCCCGUAUUUAUCGCGUUAUGAUAAGCUUAAGUGACCUAUUUUGUUGGUUUUUAGAUAGUUAUGUACUUUUCUAUAUAAUUAAACUAUUAAUAGGUAAUUAGAGUGGAACCACGGAUAUUACUUCGCCUCUAUU
rnacentral:ncRNA from 1 species